AGCGAACGCUGGCGGCAGGCUUAACACAUGCAAGUCGAGCGGGCACUUUCGGGUUUCAUCGGCUGCCCGGUUGGCAACGCGGGGGAACGCGCCUUCUUGUUCUGCCUAACUCUGGGAAACUUGAGCUAAUACCUGAUACUCCUUCCUGGUAGAAGGCCUGCUGCCCGGGGGUCGGGCCGCGUCUGUUUGUGUUGUGGGAGGGGUCACCGCACGACCAGGUGGGGAUCGGGAUCUGGUCUGAGAGGAGGAUCAGCCACACUGGGACUGAGACACGGCCCAGACUGCUAGGGGAGGCAGGAGUGGGGAAUAUUGGACACUGAGCGCUAGCCUGAUACAGCCAUGCCGGGGGAGUGAGCAAGGGGUUAGGGUUGUAAAGCUCUUUUAUCCGGGACGAUAGUGACGGUACCGGAGGAAUAAGCCCCGGCUAACUUCGUG
rnacentral:rRNA from 1 species